GCCUACGGGAGGCAGCAGUGGGGGAUAUUGGACAAUGGGGGGAACCCUGAUCCAGCGACGCCGCGUGAGUGAAGAAGUAUUUCGGUAUGUAAAGCUCUGUCAGCAGGGAAGAAAGAAAUGACGGUACCUGACCAAGAAGCCCCGGCUAACUACGUGCCAGCAGCCGCGGUAAUACGUAGGGGGCAAGCGUUAUCCGGAAUUACUGGGUGUAAAGGGAGCGUAGACGGUAAAGUAAGUCUGGAGUGAAAGGCAGGGGCCCAAACCCGGGACUGCUCUGGAAACUAUUCAACUUGAGUGCAGGAGAG
rnacentral:rRNA from 1 species